UACGGAGGGCGCGAGCGUUAAUCGGAAUUACUGGGCGUAAAGCGCGCGUAGGCUGUUGUGUAAGUUGGGGGUGAAAUCCCACGGCUCAACCGUGGAACAGCCCUUGAUACUGCGCGACUUGAAUCCGGGAGAGGGUGGCGGAAUUCCAGGUGUAGGAGUGAAAUCCGUAGAUAUCUGGAGGAACAUCAGUGGCGAAGGCGACUUUCUGGACUGUAACUGACGCUGAGGCACGAAAGUGUGGGGAGCAAACAGG
rnacentral:rRNA from 1 species